rnacentral:rRNA from 1 species
UACGGGGGGGGCAAGCGUUGUUCGGAAUUACUGGGCGUAAAGGGCUCGUAGGCGGUCUGUUACGUCGGGAGUGAAAACUCAGGGCUUAACCCUGAGCCUGCUUCCGAUACGGGCAGACUAGAGGUAUGCAGGGGAGAACGGAAUUCCUGGUGUAGCGGUGAAAUGCGCAGAUAUCAGGAGGAACACCGGUGGCGAAGGCGGUUCUCUGGGCAUUACCUGACGCUGAGGAGCGAAAGUGUGGGGAGCGAACAGG